rnacentral:tRNA from 1 species
GGGCCCAUAGCUCAAUGGGUUAGAGCAACCGACUCAUAAUCGGUAGGUUGUGGGUUCGAGUCCCACUGGGCCCA